rnacentral:rRNA from 1 species
ACGGUCCUAAGGUAGCGAAAUUCCUUGUCAGGUAAGUUCUGACCCGCACGAAAGGUGUAACGAUCUGGGCACUGUCUCAACAACCCGCCCGGCGAAAUUGUAGUACCGGUGAAGAUGCCGGUUACCCGCGACUAGACGGAAAGACCCCAUGGAGCUUUACUGUAGCCUAAUAUUGGAUUUCGGUAUUUCACGUACAGGAUAGGUGGGAGACUGGGAAGCACAGGCGUCAGCUUGUGUGGAGUCGACCUUGGGAUACCACUCUUGGAGUGCUGGAAUUCUAACCUGCGGCUUUGAAGCAAGUCGGGGGACAUUGUUAGGUGGGCAGUUUGACUGGGGCGGUCGCCUCCUAAAGAGUAACGGAGGCGCUCAAAGGUUCGCUCUGCAUGGAUGGAAACCAUGCGUCAGAGUGUAAACGCAAAAGCGAGCCUAACUGCGAGAAUGACGGUUCGAGCAGUAACGAAAGUUGGAGUUAGUGAUCCGGCGGUAUGUGAAUGGAAAUGCCGUCGCUCAACGGAUAAAAGCUACCCUGGGGAUAACAGGCUGAUCUCCCCCAAGAGUCCACAUCGACGGGGAGGUUUGGCACCUCGAUGUCGGCUCAUCGCAUCCUGGGGCUGAAGUAGGUCCCAAGGGUUGGGCUGUUCGCCCAUUAAAGCGGUACGCGAGCUGGGUUCAGAACGUCGUGAGACAGUUCGGUCCCUAUCUGUCGUGGGCGUAGGAUAUUUGCAAGGAGCUGUCCCUAGUACGAGAGGACCGGGAUGGACGCACCUCUGGUGCACCAGUUGUCACGCCAGUGGCACAGCUGGGCAGCUAUGUGCGGAACGGAUAAACGCUGAAGGCAUCUAAGCGUGAAGCCGCCCUUAAGAUAAGAUAUCCCUUCUGUUUACAGAGUAAGACCCCUUGAAGACUACAAGGUUGAUAGGCUCAAAGUGUAAGCACGGUGACGUGUUUAGCUAGCGAGUACUAAUCGGUCGAGGGCUUAACCUU